AAAACUAAAAGAUUAAAUUAUUCUUUUCGGCAAAAAGACAAGAAAAACUAAACUACAUAAUGUAACUAAAAACUUAUAUAAAAGUAAAAUUUUAAAUAAGUCAAUAACCCGUUAUUAUACUUCAACACUCACCCUCUUUGAACUUUAGGACAAAAACCGGGAUUAGAUACCCCGCUAUUCCUAAACAUAAAUUUACCUGCCCGGGAACUACGAGCUUAACCUUAAAACCCAAAGAACUUGGCGGUGCAUAAGACUACUCAGGGGAACCUGUCUCAUAAUCGAUAAUCCUCGCUAUACAUCACCUAAGUUAGUAAUCAGUAUGUAUACCGUCGUCGGCAGAUAACUUCUAAAACAUAAAAGUUAACAAAAAAUAAAUUAAAUCUGACAUCAGAUCAAGGUGCAACUAAUACUUAGGAAGAGAUGUGUUACAAUUAUAUAUUUAUAUCCUGAACUAUUUCCUGAAAAAAAAUAAAAAAAAGGACUUGAAAGUAAAAAGCUUCUAUAUAAACCUAUUGAAUAUGCUCUAAUGCGCGC
rnacentral:rRNA from 1 species